CGCGGGGUGGAGCAGCCUGGUAGCUCGUCGGGCUCAUAACCCGAAGUGUCGUCGGUUCAAAUCCGGCCCCCGCAACCA
rnacentral:tRNA from 1 species